CCUACGGGAGACAGCAGUGGGGAAUAUUGCACAAUGGGGGAAACCCUGAUGCAGCGACGCCGCGUGAGCGAUGAAGGAUUUCGGUAUGGAAAGCUCUAGCAGCAGGGAAGAAAAUUACGGUACCUGACUAAGAAGCCCCGGCUAACGACGUGCCAGCAGCCGCGGUAAUACGUAGGGGGCAGGCGUUAGCCGGAUUUACUGGGUGUAAGGGGAGCGUAGACGGUCCUGCAAGCCAGAUGUGAAAGCCCGGGGCUCAACCCCGGGACUGCAUUUGGAACUGUAAGGCUAGAGUGUCGGAGAGGCAGGCGGAAUUCCUAGUGUAGCGGUGAAAUGCGUAGAUAUUAGGAGGAACACCAGUGGCGAAGGCGGCCUGCUGGACGAUGACUGACGUUGAGGCUCGAAAGCGUGGGGAGCAAACAGGAUUAGAUACCCGGGUAGUC
rnacentral:rRNA from 1 species